rnacentral:rRNA from 1 species
AGCGAACGCUGGCGGCAGGCCUAACACAUGCAAGUCGAACGAACCUUUCGGGGUUAGUGGCGGACGGGUGAGUAACACGUGGGAACGUGCCUUUAGGUUCGGAAUAACUCAGGGAAACUUGUGCUAAUACCGAAUGUGCCCUUCGGGGGAAAGAUUUAUCGCCUUUAGAGCGGCCCGCGUCUGAUUAGCUAGUUGGUGAGGUAAAGGCUCACCAAGGCGACGAUUAGUAGCUGGUCUGAGAGGAUGAUCAGCCACAUUGGGACUGAGACACGGCCCAAACUCCUACGGGAGGCAGCAGUGGGGAAUCUUGCGCAAUGGGCGAAAGCCUGACGCAGCCAUGCCGCGUGAAUGAUGAAGGUCUUAGGAUUGUAAAAUUCUUUCACCGGGGACGAUAAUGACGGUACCCGGAGAAGAAGCCCCGGCUAACUUCGUG